AAGAAAAAUCAGGCGUCCCCUACUGUUUUUACCAAAGUGAAUCUUGCGAUGUUUCUAACCAGUUGAAAGAGUUGGUUGCGGUAAAGUGGGAAUAACAGAAAACUAUGUGAAAAAUAGGAUGUUGUUGGGAUGACCACAUAGAGGGUGUCCACAACUGUUAUAGAAGAGUACGUCUUCCAGAACUUGCUUAGGACAAAAGGAGUUUGGUGGUACGCGCGAGGAUGAAUAGUAUAGUCACAUGAAAUGUAGUUGUGUAUUCAAGGGUACUCCUUUGUCAUGGCAUUGUAAACAUUCGCGUUGAAAUAAAUGUGCAAGUUAAUGAAGUGUUUUCUUAUUUGGGCAGGACGUUCUGAACUAGAUGUGGGAAUCACCUUAACAGAAACAAAAUAAAAGAAUUAUUCUCUAGUUCAGAUGGCAAACACAACUGGUUGCAUAGAGAUUUCGUCAACCUACAGUUCCAAAACGAAAUCGUUGAAAACAUCUACAUAUAUUCGCUGUGAUGCUUGGAAUCAAUGCUCACCUUAUCCAAACGAUGGCAGUGAAUCAACCCAUCUCUUCCAACUUCGAAAAUCGAGAACCCGUCAACGUAACUAGAAAGUCGAUCAGAAACAACUUCGUUUGUCAAGGUUUAUAGGGCAAA